UACGGAGGAUCCAAGCGUUAUCCGGAUUCAUUGGGUUUAAAGGGUGCGUAGGCGGAACGAUAAGUCAGUGGUGAAAUCCUGUAGCUUAACUACAGAACUGCCAUUGAUACUGUCGAUCUUGAGUAUAUUUGAUGUGGGCGGAAUGUGUCAUGUAGCGGUGAAAUGCUUAGAUAUGACACAGAACACCGAUUGCGAAGGCAGCUCACAAAACUAUAACUGACGCUGAGGCACGAAAGCGUGGGGAUCAAACAGG
rnacentral:rRNA from 1 species